AUAUAUUUAUAAAUACAAAUAUAACAAUAUAACAUAUAUUUGUAAAAAAUCUGCUUUCAACAUAAAAAAGUGAAUUUAAAAAACAACUGUCUAUGGUUUCUAAAUACCAAGUUAGACAUAAUAUUGAAUUACUGAGCUGAUCAGUGGUCUGUUAAACCUCUUCUAACUUCAUCACAUCUGGCUGCUGCCCAAGGAGGAAUCUUGUGUGUUUUCCAGCUGCAGAUGAGUAUUCACCACCAAGCUAUACCUACACCUCACUUGGGUAGAGACAUCACCCACAGCCUGGGGCCCAGGUUGCUGCCUCAACCCUGUGCUUCACUCUGUUGUGAAGAGAUACAUCCAGAACCCGCAGCCUCCAGUCUGUAUUCUAACAGCAGCACCUGGUGAACCCUCACAGGCAGUUUCAUCAACAUCAAAAACCUUCAGCUGUGUGUACACAAUUUACAACAUCAAGCUACAGCCUCCAAUCUGCAUUCCAACAGCAGCAAAAGCACAACUUUAACACACACAAGUUCCUCCUUACUCUUUUUCUCUCUCAUCUUUAUAUUCUUGUUUCAAGUCAUUGACCCUCCUCCAAAAAAAAACAAACAAAAAAAGAAAACAAAACAAAAAAAAAACAAAAAAACAA